CGUUACUGCUAAGAAUCUGUAUGCAGUACUUCUCGGUGAUAAAAGUGCUGUCAAGGGUGGAAGUGGCAAGGUUGUAAAUAGCAAGGCAAAUGAUAGGAUCUUCUUGUACUAUACUGAUCAUGGAGGCGGCCCUGGAGUUCUUGGGAUGCCAAAUCCGCCUUUUGUGUAUGCAAUGGAUUUCAUCGAGGUUUUGAAGAAGAAACAGGCAGCUGGGGGCUACA
rnacentral:misc_RNA from 1 species